UAGGAGAAAGCCAAUGGCCCCUGUUGUGGUC
rnacentral:piRNA from 1 species